AGUCAGAAUCUACAGUCACCCCUGCUAAAUAUUAUAUAUUUUCCUAUUGUUCUGCAUAUGUAUAUCUCAUCAGCAUCGCUGGGCUGCCUCAGUUCUUUGGCUGCAAAAAUUAAAAAAAAGUCUUUGGCUGCAUUCUCAGUUAUUUAUCUCAGUUUGACUGCACUCUCAUUUAUCCAUCCUCGUCAUUUUCACCACCACCACCUCUGAAGAUAAAAACCGUGUUGUCAUUAUAGAUUCCACCCUCUUCAUAUCCCCGCCUUCAUAUCCUCCAGAGUAGACUACUGCAAUGCCCUUCUCUUCGGUGCCCUGGAGCUCCCUCCCACUUGUACUGCGUCAAUGCACUUCCCUGUCCACUUUCAAACCUCUAUUGAAAACCCACCUCUUCACCCUGGCUUUUCCCUCCUACCCCAACGCCUCCUACCCUGACCUUGACCUGGGCUGACCAAUGCACCACCCCCUUCCAUUUCUUCUUCCCAUGUAUCUUUUACCGCCGUUUAAUGUAUUAUCUAGUUGUUUUGAUUUUUAUACUGUGUUUAACAAAUGUUCAGUGUCUGUUUUAUUGUCUCUGUUUGAUGUCUAAUGUUAUUUUAUUAACAUUUUGUUUUACCUUUACUGCACAGUGUCCUUGGGAGACAUGAAAGGCGAAUGAAAUAAAAUGUAUGAUUAUUUUUGUUAUUAUACAGCAUUUGUACUGAUAAAUCAUACUGAUAAUAAUGGUUAGCUAGCUACUUUUUCAAAAUCUGCCCAUUUUCAUCUUCUUCAUGGCCUACUCUCAUUUAUUUGUUAUGGCGUAUAGAGUUCAACGUCGUCAUAGCUGUGUACGUAUUUAGCUUUCUGCAAUUCAAGGCCCACCACGGUCGUGCCACUUGGGGAGGGGCCACUCAUUUACUCCCCCUCUACUAAUAUCGACUUGGUUGCAACGCUAACAGUUUGUGAGUGCUUGCGUGUGUUUGUAUGUGGGAGACAGUGAGAGAGAGAGUAGCGCACAGCUUUGGCUGGCCUGACGGCGCAGCAAGGAACUUAUAUAUUAUGCAAUAGUUAGCUCGCAAAAUCAGCCCGGCGGUCGGCCCCGAAACGUUAACAGCCCACCGGGAAUUCUCUCGACUCUCCCGGUUACCACGCCGCUACUGAGCGUCAUACUGUCAGUCCUCUUAUCCUCAAUAAUAACACCAAACUCCUCCAUCAAGUCCUUGAGCAACAUCUUUUCAAAUGUCAAAAAGUUGGAUCCCCUUUGACGUGCCAUAUCUUAAUUUAACGUGUCGUGCCAUAUCUUAAAAAAUUUACAAGCCAAGCUAGCUUGCUACAAGUAUCAAGUGCUGUAGUGUCAGCUGUAACAGUUAAGGUAACAACGGUUACAUUUUUUCAAAAAGCAACGAGUUUACGAGAAGGCUUGGGAAUAUAUUGUGGUCCAUCUUUAUCAAACCUACAUCCUGAAUUUGUUCACAUUUCGCCGGAAUCCAUCAUGGCAGACACUGAACACAAACUAAUCCUAUUUUAAUCCUUGUUUAAACUAGUUUACCUAAUCCAGAGUUACAACUAAAAUGUGCAACGCAUCUGUGAUUAAUUAUGAAUCAGUUUUAACCUAGAUUUACUUACCAUAGAAACCCUAAACCAGGAUUAAUCAAUCCAUGUUGGUGCAACCCAGCCAUAUUGUUUGUAUUACUGCUGAAACAGUGGGUUCCCAUUGACUGUUCUCCCAACUGUAAUGGUAUUAUUAAGUACUCAUAUCGGGCAUUCACACUUCAAAAACCUCUACAGCGGUAUUCAUUUGUCAUCAACUUGUUUAACUGAAUUUAUUUUUAAAAUGAAACUUUGAAAUUGACUAUUCUGCUUGUUAAGGUCAUAUGACACACCCCCAGUGUAAUUACAUUCCCAACCUUUAGUCUCUCCUAACCAUUGCUAGCUAAACGAAAGACAAUUCCAACCCCAAACAAAAUAAGAAGCACAUAUCAAAAAGAGAUAUGUAUUUAUAACUCUGCACCUUCA